rnacentral:lncRNA from 1 species
GCACGGACUCGCACACGCCCAACGCCGGUGGCCUGGGUAUGUGCGCGGUGGGCGUGGGUGGCGCCGACGCGGUGGACGUGAUGGCGGGCCUGCCCUGGGAGCUGAAGGCGCCCAAGGUGAUCGGUGUCAAGCUGACGGGCAAGAUGUCCCGGUGGACCUCGCCCAAGGACGUCAUCCUCAAGGUGCGAGCCUGGCAGGGCUGCUGGUUGGGGUAGUCUUGGGGCAUGGCAGGGUUGGCGCGGGCGCAGGCUGGUAGGGCCCUAGCCAGGGCGGAACGGGCUGGUUUGGGACGAUGGUACCGCUACGGUUAACGGUGAUGAGAGGCAGUGAUGCACCUGUGGUGGUACCGUAACCUCCGCGCUCCAGUCGGACCGGCCCCUCUCCUACCUUCUCCGCCAUACCGCUUUGGCAACCUGCAGGUGGCGGGCAUCCUGACGGUGAAGGGCGGCACUGGCGCCAUCGUGGAGUACUUCGGCCCGGGCGUGGACCACAUGAGCUGCACCGGCAUGGCAACGGUUUGCAACAUGGGCGCUGAGAUCGGUGCCACCACCUCCAUGUUCCCUUACAACAAGCGCAUGCACGACUACCUGGUCGCCACCGGCCGCGCGCCGGCCGC